rnacentral:lncRNA from 1 species
UUUCUUCCUUCCGCUCUCUCUCCCCCCCUCCCUCCUCCCGUUCUUCCUUUCUGUAUCAGCACCACUGGAAGUACAGAGGGACUGUAGCUCAUUGUCGGAAUCCAAGGUAACAAUAGACAGGACUAGGUAGACAAGGUGGAUGCAUCUGUGAGCUGCUGUCCCAAAUCACACUCCCAGAGAGGGAUUAGUUUGAGAAAGUGCUCCUCACACCCACCGAGUCAUGUGUAAAAUACACAGCUCCAUGAAUUUGAUGAGAAAGAAUUAGCUUUAAAAACAAAUAAAAACCACCUGGAAAAACACCUAAACAAGGAGCAGAAAGACCUUGUCUUAGUUAAGGUACGGCUCCAUCACUAAGGAAUCUGGAGGCUGGAGCUGAGGCAGAAGCCAUGAAGGGUUGCUGCUUACUGGCUUGCUCUACAUAGAUUGCUCAGCCUGCUUUCUUAUAGAACCCAGGACCACCAGCUCAAAGGUGGCCCUGCCCACAGUAUGCUACCCCUUCCAUAUCAAUGAUUAAUCAUGAAAACUGCACCACAGGCCAUUCUGUUGGGAGCAUUUUCCCUCUUGAGGUUCCUCUUCCAAACUGAGUCUAGUAUGUGUUAAGCUGACUUAAAACUGUGUGGACAAAGCUUUCCUGAAAAGCCUCAACAUCACGGGAAAUAAUCCCAAGAGCUAUCAAAUACAUUUGCAUAAAAUCUAAAAGCUUUGGCACCGAAAAGACAAGAAUUACCUGGAGAAACAGACAUAGAAUAGAACAAAGUCUUCCCACUGCCUGUCAGAUGGUGUUACUAUUUAGACUACACAGGAAAUGCAAAGUUAAAUACCAGAAAAUUGUCUAUUCAAUAAAUGUGUUAAU